rnacentral:rRNA from 1 species
AAACUCUGUUGUUAGGGAAGAACAAGUACCGGAGUAACUGCCGGUACCUUGACGGUACCUAACCAGAAAGCCACGGCUAACUACGUGCCAGCAGCCGCGGUAAUACGUAGGUGGCAAGCGUUGUCCGGAAUUAUUGGGCGUAAAGCGCGCGCAGGCGGUUCCUUAAGUCUGAUGUGAAAGCCCCCGGCUCAACCGGGGAGGGUCAUUGGAAACUGGGGAACUUGAGUGCAGAAGAGAAGAGUGGAAUUCCACGUGUAGCGGUGAAAUGCGUAGAGAUGUGGAGGAACACCAGUGGCGAAGGCGACUCUUUGGUCUGUAACUGACGCUGAGGCGCGAAAGCGUGGGGAGCAAACAGGAUUAGAUACCCUGGUAGUCCACGCCGUAAACGAUGAGUGCUAAGUGUUAGAGGGUUUCCGCCCUUUAGUGCUGCAGCAAACGCAUUAAGCACUCCGCCUGGGGAGUACGGCCGCAAGGCUGAAACUCAAAGGAAUUGACGGGGGCCCGCACAAGCGGUGGAGCAUGUGGUUUAAUUUGAAGCAACGCGAAGAACCUUACCAGGUCUUGACAUC